rnacentral:tRNA from 1 species
GCCUUCAUGGUGUACUGGUCAGCACGCUGGGUCGUAUUCUAGAGGUCCGUGGUUCGAGUCCCGGAGAGGGCA